UGCGGUAGGGGAGACUGGAAUUCCCGGUGUAACGGUGGAAUGUGUAGAUAUCGGGAAGAACACCAAUGGCGAAGGCAGGUCUCUGGGCCGUCACUGACGCUGAGGAGCGAAAGCGUGGGGAGCGAACAGGAUUAGAUACCCUGGUAGUCCACGCCGUAAACGGUGGAUGCUGGAUGUGGGGACCAUUCCACGGUCUCCGUGUCGGAGCCAACGCGUUAAGCAUCCCGCCUGGGGAGUACGGCCGCAAGGCUAAAACUCAAAGAAAUUGACGGGGGCCCGCACAAGCGGCGGAGCAUGCGGAUUAAUUCGAUGCAACGCGAAGAACCUUACCUGGGCUUGACAUGUUCCCGACAGCCCCAGAGAUGGGGCCUCCCUUCGGGGCGGGUUCACAGGUGGUGCAUGGUCGUCGUCAGCUCGUGUCGUGAGAUGUUGGGUUAAGUCCCGCAACGAGCGCAACCCUCGCCCUGUGUUGCCAGCACGUCGUGGUGGGAACUCACGGGGGACCGCCGGGGUCAACUCGGAGGAAGGUGGGGAUGACGUCAGAUCAUCAUGCCCCUUACGUCCAGGGCUUCACGCAUGCUACAAUGGCCGGUACAACGGGAUGCGACACCGCGAGGUGGAGCGGAUCCCUUAAAACCGGUCUCAGUUCGGAUUGGAGUCUGCAACCCGACUCCAUGAAGGCGGAGUCGCUAGUAAUCGCGGAUCAGCAACGCCGCGGUGAAUGCGUUCCCGGGCCUUGUACACACCGCCCGUCAAGUCAUGAAAGUGGGUAGCACCCGAAGCCGGUGGCCCAACCUUUUGGGGGGAGCCGUCUAAGGUGAGACUCGUGAUUGGGACUAAGUCGUAACAAGGUAGCCGUACCGGAAGGUGCGGCUG
rnacentral:rRNA from 1 species